rnacentral:lncRNA from 1 species
UGCUGUUAUAAUUUUUAUUGAACUUAAAUCACAUAUCAGUGUCACCAAACGCAUAUACAAAAGAACUAAGUGCAUGGUACGGGACGAAUAACUGGACACUUUAUUGGGGGUCUCAUUGGGGGGUUCCGAUCCGGAUCCUGCUUUCUGUUUUGUCACAUUCCCGUAUCCCGCUUACACUAUGUACGUAAGCAAUUCUCAUUUUUUUUUUGGCAUUUCCCGUGUCCCGCUAGACCUCAUUUCCCGUUUUCACGACACAAUAAUUUGACUUUCACGUGUCACGCUUACAAAAAAUCGGCAGUCCCCCGUCACGCUUAGAACCCAAUGAGACCUACUUUAUUGGUGGGUUUAUCCUUAAACUCCUGUCUAUAGAUGGACUGGUCUUAAAUGAGCGGACUUCUUAACCCCCGCCCAGUCAAGUUAAAUAAAUCUAAUAAUACGUAUAGAUU